UCCGGUGUGGUCUAGUGGCUAGGAUACCUGGCUCUCACCCAGGAGGCCUGGGUUCGAUUCCCGGUACCGGAA